rnacentral:snRNA from 1 species
AUACUUACCUGGCAGGCGGAGAUACCAUGAUCACGAAGGUGGUUUUCCCAGGGUGCGGCUCAUCCAUUGCACUGCGGGUGUGCUGACCCCUGCGAUUUCCCAAAUGCGGGAAACUCGACUGCAUAAUUUGUGAUAGUGGGGACUGCGUUCGCGCUCUCCCCUG